AUGAGCGGACAAUUCCAAAGAAAUGGUAAGAUAUGGGUAAGAGUUCUCGCAGAUCUUCCUAUUACGGGGAAACCCACAGAAGUUCGAAUGGGAAGAGGAAAUCCAAUUUCGGUAAGACUUGAUCUAUCAUCUUAUUCUUUUUGUUUCUUUUUGGGGGGGACUGAUAAUAGUUCUCAUUGUGAUUGCGGCUGUAGUUUUAUAUCCCUCUUUGAUCGUGACAGAUCAAGCUAG
rnacentral:rRNA from 1 species